rnacentral:rRNA from 1 species
UACGUGGGGGCCUAGCGUUGUCCGGAUUUAUUGGGCGUAAAGAGCUCGUAGGCGGUUCGGUAAGUCAGGUGUGAAAUCUCCACGCUCAACGUGGAGGCGCCACCUGAAACUGCCGUGACUCGAGUCCGGUAGGGGAGUGUGGAAUUCCCGGUGUAGCGGUGAAAUGCGUAGAUAUCUGGAGGAAUACCGGUGGCGAAGGCGGCAUCCUGGACCAUUACUGACGCUGAGGCGCGAAAGCUAGGGGAACAAACGGG